GCUGCACCUGAGGUAUGUGGACGUUCCCAGAGCCAGCAAUCAAAGCUGUGUCACAGCAGGCAAUCUGAGCCACAGCAGUGCCAAAGCUGGACCCUUAACCAACUGAGCCACCAGGGAACUCAUCAUGCAUAUUUAAAGGCUUUAUUUUAGAGAGCAUGUUCUUUCUCAUUUUCUCAUUUGAUGCUCAUGAGCCUAUAGGCAUAACAAGCACACUGAUUCAAUCAGGAACUACAUCUUGAACACCUACUAUGUGCAAGGCACCAUUCCAAGUGCUGGAAAUUCAGAUAAAUAUCCCUGACCUUCAAGGAGCUUAUUUUUCUGUGGUACUGUUCAUCCUUUGUUUGCUCACCUUUCUAGAAACAGCAAAAUUCACCAUGUGCAUGUCUGCUGGGUUAGGGGCUUGGUGUGAACAGAAAAAAGUCUAGUUUCUAUUAUUUAAUAAAAAUGAGUAUGUUUUACAGUAUUACACAAAAUCAUUUCUUCUUCCUCCAUCUCCCUAUAUUAUACUGUAAACAAAAAAACUUCCCCAUUUUGGCAAAAUAAAAUACUGCAUAUAGAACAAGAGCCACACAUAAGUAUGUUUACAAGCUUUUUCCACAUCUUUGCAUCCUAUGGUAAUUCUCAAAUUACAUAAAGGGGAGGAAGGGGAGGAAAAAGCCCUUAAAGGUUUACACUUUUCCUUAAGUUUCAAGUGUUCUGAAAUAAACAGCCUGACAUCUUAUUGACAAUGUGUCAGCAUCUGCUUAAUUCAAAAACAGCUGGGGGAGUUUCCAUUGUGGUGCAGUGGAAACGAACCUGACUAGUACCCAUGAGGAUGCAGGUUCGAUUCCUGACCUCGCUCAGUGGGUGAAAGAUCUGGUGUUGCUGUGUCUGUGGUGCAGGCCGGCAGCUGCAGCUCUGAUUCAACCCCUAGCCUAGAACUUCCAUAUGCUGAUGGCUUAGGGGAAGCGAUAGACAUCAAAUAACAGAAGUCUGGGGCCAGGGGUAUAGGACUGGAAAACCCUUUGAAAGGAAGGGCAAGGCUUUUAGUUCCAAGAAAGGAGGAUGGACACAGCCUAUGACUCUUUUUUUCUACUCUCCCAUCUGUGAAGGAAGUAGCCUGCAGGAGUUAAGCGGCUUGAACUAUUUUUAGGCCUCUGACCCUUUUAAAAAGCCAGAGCUAAAUUCAGUCCUCCGUUACACCCACUCAACUCCCAGUGGCUUCAGCGCGAGCCCCGGGAGAACCCGUUCAGCGCUCAGGAGACUUUAGCUAUGCCCUUGGCAUUCUCGGCUUCAGAUGGAUCUCUGGAUCCCUCACCGGGUCACCCAGGCUCUGGAAAGCCACCCUGCGGGCUUCCAGCUUCACAGAGGGCAGUGGCCACAGGCUCCUAUUCUGAGGAUAUCCCCAUGAGCUGUGACGAUUUUCACACAACUGGAUGAAAGGCUCAGGUUUUUCGGGUUGUGGAUUUUUUGUUUUUUUGUUUUGUUUUGUUUUUUUACAAAUCAGGCCAAAAGGGGAAAAUAAGUUUCUUUUGAAAACGGUAGUCAAUCUAUCUCAGAAUUGUUUAAAAAUUAUAAUCUCAUCUAUAGGAGCCCAGAUUUGAAGAACUGUAGUACAUGGGCUAAAUUAAACUUACCUCCAACUAGCACAGGGUAAUUACAAUCAGGCAUCACAUGAAGUUCACUGCUGCUGAAUGCAACAUGAUUUGUGACAGUAAACUACAGUAUGGUGGAGAAAGACAAAAAAAUCAUUUAUAAAUAACGGGUCCCACGUCUGACUUGUGGGGUGAGUGGAGAGCAUUCGGCAUCUCCAAUUACUUUAACGGGGGGCUGUCAGAUCCCAGGGAAAGGACACAUCGUCUCCCCUCACCCUCUCUAAUCCUUCCUUCUUAAAGGAACACUCAGCAAGAUAAUGAAUCCUUUAAAUGUUACAUCUUCUGUCCUGCAUUAUUGUGGUGCAGAAACUCUUCACAUCAAACAGUCAUCAGGACUAUUACAAAGUGGGCUUAUAAGAGAGGGGCUGAAAAGGAGCUGUGUGAAAAGAAGUGGAAAAUUAAAGCUGAAGCAGUCGAAGAAAGGGCUUAAUUUACUGGCAUGUACAGUAUGCAAAUGAGAUUACUCUCAGCUUAACUGCAUCAUUUAUGUCCAUAAUAACGGCAUCAUCAUUACAGGGCUCAAAUUAAAUUACACCAUAAUUAGCAUAUCAAAGUGAUUGGUUAAAGUUUAAAACAAAUACCCAAUUUUGUUAAUGAACAGCUGUAAUUGUCAUGUACACUUCAGUGAAAACUCUCUAAACAAAUAUAUGUUUUAGAAGAGAGGAAGAUUCCCCCCCCUCUGUAGACAGGUCUGUAGCAGAGGUAAAUUACCUAAAAAAGAAUGACAUGGACUAUUCUAUUAAUGUUAAUAUAUGCUGAUCAUUUUCAGGUAAUAAAGCAUUCUAUCAAAACAAGGUUUCGCUUAUAUU
rnacentral:lncRNA from 1 species